UCACCAUGUUCUCUCUUCUCUUCCAUCGGCGCCGAGAGACUCUCCACCUUCACUAUCGAUCUAAACGGAGGGUGUUAUCGUGUCUGUUGUUUAUGGCAAUCAAUUCUAACACCCAUUAUGAAGCCUUCAAUGCGACGAUCUAGAGUGUGAGGCGGUCUUAGCUCUGUAUAAAUAUACCGGCAAGAGCUUUGGCGCCUAAACUAAACGUACCGUUGUCAUCAAAGGUUGUAUCCGUGUUCUUCUUCGCCUCUUCUUCGUCAAGCGAUCUUCCAUCUUCUUCAUCCCAAGCGAUGCCAGUUACGGAUUAAUAUCCCUACAACCCUCAUUUAAUUUUUAAUCCUCGAUCUACAUUCAGUGAGAAUUUUUUUUCCUCUAAAAGACGGUGGAGGUUCUACUACAAAAAAGAUUUUCAUCUUUCAUGAACCUUAAAAGAGAUCUCAAAAUGUCGGCAGCCAGCCAUGGCUAUCACUAAAGUCCAUAGAAUUAUGAUCCUGCUAAAUAAAGCUAAGAUCCAAAUUUGGCUAUUUAGACAGAAAGAUCUGGGCACUGAAGAAAUAUUAAUAUCUGAGCGAGAGUAUGAGAUUGGGUAAUUGAUGUCUCUUGGGUUUUGCAAGUGUUCAAGAAUUCCGGGUGUUUUCUUGGUACUUAUGGUCUCUUAUGUUGAUCUAGAGUACAAAAAAUACACAGUGGAUAUAGAUCGAUCAUCAAUUACUUGGAGAUGCAAUCCAUUAUCUCAACGACCGUUUGCAGAGGAUGAAUGAUCUUCACAACGAACUUCGGUCAACUCCACCUGGAUCUUUGCCUCCAGCUCCAACAAGUUUCCAUCCAUUAACACUUACACCUCAUACUCUUUCUUUCCGUGUGAAGGAAGAGCCAUGUCCCUCAUAUCGAGCCUUAAAGGACAACAAUCAAGAGUAAACAAAGCUUCAUGGGUAGUUUUUCGUUUCAUAGAGUAGUUUUCGUUUCAUGUGUUUUUGUUAUCUACAUGUUGAGGUUAGACUAAGGGAAGGAAGACCAGUCAACAUUUGCGUGAUUUGUUUGGCUUGGAUGUUGUUCACGUUGAGGUUACAUUCUCUUCAUCUUUUUAAUUGUGCUUCUCACCCUUUUUUAUUUUGUGAUUAAUGGGCUUUUGUGGUUUGAUUGCCCAGCUUUCGCUAUAAUGUUAAUUCAAUAGUUAAAAACAAUGUGAGAUCAGGUAAUCCAAAAUGUGUCAACACUUAACAGAACUAAGUAGACAAAAUGCGACAAGUAAAGUACUUGCCUUUGGAGAUUGAUAACCGAGCAUAGAUGCUGCACCACUGAACCCGACCCGAGACGUCAUACUCAAAAGGAACCGAUCAGAAGAGGAAUCUUGGUUAGUAGUUGUUUAAGUCAGUUUCUUGAAGAUAUCCAUGACGAAGAGCAUUGAGAUGAGAUUGUAAGUACCUACUAUAUCCAACGGGAGGCCAUGGAUUGCUCUUGGUGUCUUCAAGUGCUUAAGCUAUCUCCUUUCUGAUACCAAAUGUUAGUUUG